rnacentral:lncRNA from 1 species
GACGAGAUCUCGCAGACCGCCGAACUCGUGAGGAUCUUGGGAUGCUACGCCGCCGAUCCUAAUGUCUACGACCUUCACUAGCGGAGCGUUCGGUGCGCAUCCUUACCUGCAGCAGCACAGGAAAGCGUCUUCUCUCCUCUCCCCUCCCGUCCUCUUCUCAGUAUGGUUGUACAUAAUACGCCUGUUCCCGUUGUGUAAUUCGACUACCUUCCGUCCAUUACUAUUUCAGUUAACACCUGCUCGUUCAUCUUCCUGAGCUUGAUGGAGGACUGAUCGAUAAGCAGGUACUCUGCCGAAUCAAGUUUGCUUCUUGCUAAGUUGUAUCGUUUGUUCCCACCACGAAAGUAGCAUCUUCCUUGUAAGGU